UACAGAGGGGGCAAGCGUUAUUCGGAAUUAUUGGGCGUAAAGGGCGCGUAGGCGGCCUGGCAAGUGGAAGGUGAAAUCCCUCGGCUUAACCGAGGAACUGCCCUCCAAACUGCUUGGCUUGAGUCCGGGAGAGGUGAGUGGAAUUCCCAGUGUAGCGGUGAAAUGCGUAGAUAUUGGGAGGAACACCAGUGGCGAAGGCGGCUCACUGGACCGGAACUGACGCUGAGGCGCGAAAGCGUGGGGAGCAAACGGG
rnacentral:rRNA from 3 species